UAAUGCAUACAAUGCGCACUGUGCUCUCUAACUUACACUUAAUAUAAUGGCGCUUUCCUUACACUUUGCUCGUAACUGGAGGGACGCUGCAGAAGGUGACGUGCAACGUUACUUUGGUUGUGGCUACAGUUAUCCCCGCUGACGCAACCGAAACCGAAACUGACCUAGUCUCGUGUUGAGACGUGUAAACAAGGGUGGCGGUUAUUCUGUGAGGUAAACAUUGCGCAAUACUGCAUUGCGGAUGCCAUCGGCUUGCCGCCGUUGCCACCUUUGAAUUAUUCCAUACCCCGCGUCCAUACCUGCAUCUUGCCUUGUCACCGCUGGUCAUCGUUUUGAGAACUAAAGCGGGCUGACCUGCCUGCGGCAAAGUUGACAUGGCCUGAGUACAGCCAUUAAGCAACUCUCCAUGGCGCCAAGGUAUUGUGUUGUGAAGAGCUGUGGCAAGAAAGAAGGCGACAACGUUGUGUUUCAUUACUUUCCUUCCGACGACGAUCAAAGGAAAGCCUGGACCGCGUUCGUGCAGGCCGUCCGAGGUACCAAUUGGACGCCGGGAAGACGCAGUCAGGUAUGCUCCCUGCACUUCUCGUCGGACUGCUACCUAUACAACAUGCAGUACUGCGCCGACUUUGGUCUACCGACGAGGCGAAACUACCUGAAAAAGGGUUCAGUGCCUACUUUGUACCCUGCUGGUGCAGUACUCAUCACUGCACCGCCCACGUGUCCAGGAACGAAUGUGCGUAAUAUUGCGACUGCCACUGCUGUUGGUAUCAUACGAACUGACUCCUGGAGCAGUGGAAGUUGCAUUCACGUGUGUGGUGCACCAAGUACAGGCCCAGGUAACAGAAUGUGUAAAAGCUGCCCCAGCCCAUAUACUCCAAGGAGAGACGUUCUCCACCCGAGAAAGAUUACUAGGAAGAGAGCAGACACAUGGAAGAAUUAAGAGGCAAGGGACAUGACAGUGCAAGUGUGCUGAUGGAGAAUGAAUGGUCUAGGGGACAGAAAUGCACUCCAUUCUGCACAUGUUUCCACACAAGAAACCCACCAGAUCCACCACUGGGACCAACUCGCAAUUAUACUAUAAUGGCAAGUGUAGCUGUUGCAACUCUUCCAAUGGGGAAAGUCAGUGCAGUCACUCAAUGCUCAUUGCCACUAACAGUGAAAUCAACACAGGCCAUGCUGAGUAAAAGGACGAGGAAUGUGGGAGUGCAAGCAGAAGUGAAAACAAGAACUCCAGGGUACACCAAAAGGCAACCUUGACACAACUGGCCAAUCAUAAAUGGAAUACCUGUCUUCUGGGCCUGCUGGCUUUCAAGCAUUGCAGGUUUCCAGACUGAUUAUGUACAUCUUGAUGUUGUGCUCUCUUCAAAGAUGUUUCCCGAAUGCUCAACAGCACUGCCUACAGGACCAAUAAUUCUGGGAAAACUUAGUGGCUGAAACAUAUCACUCAGCCAUAAGAAACCAUUUGUGUUCAACAAAGCCUUCAGUGAAACUGUGACUUCAUUAUAUCGAGGUCAAGCCGUGUGGAUUCAUAUUUGCAUUCGCUGCAUAUGACAGCUUCACAAAUGAGGUGCGAUUAUCAGAAUCAAGUGGCUACUGGAUGACAUCUAGCAGGUAUCACCACAGCUUACAAGUAUAUGGUGUUGAUCCCUUCUCUUGCUCACUACCUACCUUCAACAGCUGCACCUGAUCCCUCUGUGUAAUACUGUCAAGGUUACAGCACCUCCUUUUGGCACAGUUUAACGACCUUUGAGUUCUUGUAAAGUGUGCUGUCUUGCAGACUAUUACCGUGGUCGGCAUCCCUUUCAAGUUGUUGUGACUUGUAAGUAAGAGUUGUUUUAUUAACGGGAAGGACAACUGUCCGGAAUGUGUCUUGAGAUUAUAGUGCCGAUGGAAAGAUUGCAACUCGCAAUGAUAGGCGCAAGCAUAAGUUUAUUCCUUAGCCCUCUCAGUGUUAAUGAUGUAGCUGAACAUUCUCACAUUUCUGUCCCGCCAUGUCAUUGACGUCAAAUAGAAAUGUGAGAACCACACCAAAAGAGCAUUGGCUAUUAUCCAUGUCAUUUUCUCCCUUUUACCUUACCAAAAAUAAACCGUUGGGUUCAUUUUAUAAUAUCCAACAAAAACACCCCAUGCUGGAGGUGCGUCAGCUCUGAAGAAAUCUGACAUUGAAAAACUUAAAUAAGGAAUUAAGUUUUUAAAUAAGCACUGAAACUCGCGCAGAAAUGACAGUGAGGAGUAGAUGGCACUCCGUGGUGAAACGUGUCGGUAAGCCCUUGAAGACUGUGUCCAUUUCCACAUAAAUGUACAGGCCUCAGUUUGGUUUCAAAUGCUAUGUCUAUAUAAAGUCACAAAAAUGUUUAUUUCCUAAUAUUGCAAAUUGUCUCUACCUAUGUAUCUGUAAUCUGCAAAUAGUCUUAUAGAGAAGUUGCGCUUCCUGUGUGCAAGAAAACUGAGCCAAUAAUUGACAAAGCACCAUUGUCUUGCGAGCUUCCCACAAGUACAAAACCAGCAACUGUACUGCACAGCCUGUACCGCAGUGGCGUGCAGGUGUCUGCAUGCCAACCGACAGCGAGUUUUUGGAAUGACCUCGCUGGCUGCGCAUCAUGCACCGCCGCUCACCUCAGGCGACUCGGUCAACUCGGUGUCGACGGCACCCGCCUAUCCCGCAUUCGCAAGUGGCACAUCAAAAAGAACCACUGACGGUCACAAAACAUAUGCGUAUGAGAUCACUCAACUUUCUCCACUUCAGAAUUUUAUUGAGUAAAGGAACAUGUGCUCAUGUC